AGAGAUGUUGAGAGAUCAACCAGGAGACUGUGGGAGGAUGUGAGCUCUCUGAGAAGGAGAAGAAGUAUUUACAUUAGAAGUCUGAUUCACAGGUCGGGGCAAAGUGAAAAACAUCUGCACUUUUAAAAGGUGAGGACAGUCUGUUCUGAAGGUCUACACAUUAAUGCUUCCUAUUGGGAAUUCAAAUCGGCAAUUUGUUCUUCUUCUGGUUGUUUGAAUCUUCAAAAUAGAGGGAAGACACCUGGAUGAAACAUUUUCACAGACUCUGCAAUUCCCUUAAGAGGAUCCCAGAGCCCUUAAGCUUCUCUUAGAUUCCUCUGAUUUUUUUCAGCCCAAGGACUGUUACCACAUGUCUUCCAUCUUGCCCACAAUUUUAGCAGAUCAUCAGGAUACUUGCCAACAAGGUCACAGUGGACUCCAUGGAGCAACUGCCCUCAGGAGGCAACAGAUGGCUUCACUUGCUUAUUGGCUGAAGGUCUGCAAGGACUCAAUUCACAUAUCUGAUCAUACCUGGAGUCCAGACUUUCUCCUGAUGCCUGACCCCUUUGCCAUUAGGUCGGCUCCGUAUGACUGAGUUCUAGCCAGUGAGGUAUGGGCAGAAGUGAUGUGUACCAAUUGCGAGCUCGACUUUUGAAAUCAUCCCACGUGAUCCUCCUGCCAUCUACCAGCCAUCCUUUUUGAUCUUGAAGGUCUUAUGCCUCAGAUUGUGUAACUACAGGAUGAAGGAAGGCCACUCAACCCACACUUGGACAUGAUGGCUUGCAUAAAUGCUGGGUGUCCCAACACUGGAGCAGGCCCUGAAGAGGAAAAUGUAAAGUGCUUGUUAAAGGUCACAGUGUUUGGACACCGCAUGAACAUGCCAAUUUCCUGUGUUGUAAUAUUUUUAUGCACUUUAAGAAGACCACCAGAAACAGCAGACUGAGGCGCAUAUUGGACAAAAAUCACUUAUCCAAGACCACGUUACUACAACCCCAGGGCACAGAAGCUAAGUCUUCCUAUUGUACUGAACUCAGUUGACUGGAAUUUGUUCAGGAAAGCAUGAAGUCAAAUGGAAGCUAGUCCGUGACUGGAUUCAUCUUUUGGUAAAAAACGAAGAGGAGACCCCAUAUCCUGGAGGUUCUUGCUUAACCCUGUCCCUAAUAAGACCUAACUUUAUGAGUCUUCUCCUUAGAGGCAGUCCUAGGGUAAGAGUGAUUAUUCCUGUGAGCCUUGUAGGUACUUUCGAAUCAAGGAAAUUAGUAGUUGAUUGCUAAUUAAUUCAGUAUUUAAUGAAUUUAAGUACCUAGGCAAUGAGGCCACAAUAGCAAAUAAGACACAGACCUGUUUUCAAAAAGUAGCCUGUAAAUAAGAUAUUUUUUUCUGCCAUGGUGGCAAAGGCAUGACUAUGGUGAUGAACAUUCAUAGGCUCACCUUCUAGCUCUGUUGUAUGUUAACUGUGUGAACUUGGGUCAAGUUAUGAAAACUCUAAGAACUCUCAAAACUCCUGAUCUGUUUUAACAUGAAAGUAAAGAUAUCUAAUUGAAUUGUUGUGAAACUUAAAUGUAAUGUGACAUCCAAAGAAUGUAGCCCAAAGUUGGAUUUCAGUAAGUGAUAAAUAGAAGUAUUUAAACAUGGGUAUGGUAUGUUCUGUAACAGAAGAAUGUCUAUGUGCUGGGGAUACCUAGAGACAGUGAAAAUUCUGUCUGGCCUGCGAAUUAUAAUAAAAUGACUCUUUAAAGUCAA
rnacentral:lncRNA from 1 species